GAUGAACGCUGGCGGCGUGCCUAAUACAUGCAAGUCGAGCGAACAGACGAGGAGCUUGCUCCUCUGACGUUAGCGGCGGACGGGUGUGUAACACGUGGAUAACCUACCUAUAAGACUGGGAUAACUUCGGGAAACCGGAGCUAAUACCGGAUAAUAUAUUGAACCGCAUGGUUCAAUAGUGAAAGACGGUUUUGCUGUCACUUAUAGAUGGAUCCGCGCCGCAUUAGCUAGUUGGUAAGGUAACGGCUUACCAAGGCAACGAUGCGUAGCCGACCUGAGAGGGUGAUCGGCCACACUGGACCUGAGCCACGGUCCAGACUCCUACGGGAGGCAGCAGUAGGGAAUCUUCCGCAAUGGGCGAAAGCCUGACGGAGCAACGCCGCGUGAGUGAUGAAGGUCUUCGGAUCGUAAAACUCUGUUAUUAGGGAAGAACAAAUGUGUAAGUAACUAUGCACGUCUUGACGGUACCUAAGCAGAAAGCCACGGCUAACUACGU
rnacentral:rRNA from 1 species